AGAGGACUGAAAAUCCU
rnacentral:tRNA from 26 species